GCCUGGGUGGCUCAGUCAGUUGAGCACCUGACUCUUGCUUUCAGCUCAGGUCAUGAUCCCAGAGUCAUGGGAUCGAGCCCCAUAUUGGGCU
rnacentral:tRNA from 1 species